rnacentral:rRNA from 1 species
GAUGAACGCUGGCGGCGUGCCUAAUACAUGCAAGUCGAACGAACGGACGAGAAGUUUGCUUCUCUGACGUUAGGGGCGGACGGGUGAGUAACAUGUGGAUAACCUACCUAUAAGACUGGGAUAAUCUCGGGAAACCGGAUCUUAUACCGGAUAAUAUCUUGAACCGCAUGGUGCAAAAGUGAAAUACGGUCGUGCUGUCACUAAUAGAGGGAUAAGGGCUGCAUUGGCUAGUUGGUAAGGUAAUGGCUUAGCAAGGCAAGGAUGCGUGGCCGACCUGUGAGAGGGGUCGGCGACACUGGAAGUGAACCGCGGUCCAGACUCCUGCGGGAGGCACCAGACGGGAAUCUGCCGCAAUGGGCGAGAGCAUGACGCAGCAGCGCGGCGUGAGUGGUGACGGCGUCCGGAUCGGAAUGCUCUGUUUCUAGGUGAGAACAGAUGUGGACUUAACCGUGCAGUUCUUGACGGUACCUGGUCAAGAAGCCACGGCUAACUACGUG